rnacentral:rRNA from 1 species
AUGCUCCGCCUCGACAUAGCCCAGGAGAGUAGGCAGCUGACAGACGAUGAGCUCCAGUUGCGGAAACAGCUCAAGCUGCGUGUCAUCGGUCUCGCAGCCAUUGAGAGAGCACGCAAGAGGCAGGCUUCGCGCAUUACCUGGCUGCGCGCGGGCGUCGCCAAGACGGUGUUCUAUCAGGCAAAAAUCAAGUCUAGGCGCCAAAAAAACUUCAUCCAUGCCCUACACACCUGUGACUCCAUUGCCACCUCCCACGGCGACAAGGAACAGAUCAUACAUGAGCACUUCCGAGCCUCGCUGGGCACAACAUCACCUCGCAGCAGAACCAUCAACUGGGAAGCCAUCCACCUUCCAUCCUUGCCAGCAGCCGGCCUCGACAACCCCUUCACCGAGGAAGAGGUGUGGGCGGCGAUCUGCAAAUCUCCGCAGGAGAAAUCUCCGGGUCCGGAUAGAUUCAACGGCGCUUUCUUCCGUUCGUGGUGUCCCAUCAUCAAGACAGACAUCAUGGCCGUCUUCCACCAAUUCUACAAUCUCUCAGGCGGAGACAUGUCAGUGAUCAACAACGCUACCAUCAUCCUCCUGCCAAAAAAGGACGGGGCGACGGAAAUCACCGACUACAGGCCCAUCAGUUUGAUCCACUCGAUAACCAAGCUCAUCUCCAAGGUUCUCUCCAUUAGAUUGUCGUCCGUCAUCGGCUCCAUCAUCUCACCGGCACAAACGGCAUUCCUGAAGUCUAAGUACAUCCAUGAUAGUUUUCUCUUCGUGCAAAACUCCGUCUGCGCCCUCCACCGUCGCCAAACACCGGGCCUGCUAUGA